rnacentral:rRNA from 1 species
UACGAAGGGGGGCUAGCGUUGCUCGGAAUCACUGGGCGUAAAGGGCGCGUAGGCGGCCGAUCAAGUCAGGGGUGAAAGCCUGUGGCUCAACCACAGAAUUGCCUUUGAUACUGUUUGGCUCGAGACCGGAAGAGGUUGGUGGAACUGCGAGUGUAGAGGUGAAAUUCGUAGAUAUUCGCAAGAACACCAGUGGCGAAGGCGGCCAACUGGUCCGGUUCUGACGCUGAGGCGCGAAAGCGUGGGGAGCAAACAGG